rnacentral:piRNA from 1 species
ACAGGUGAUAUCUAUCCCAUGGCUAUGCCCC